UCCCCUUCCAGAUCCCCCCAUCUCCUCACUGUCUUGCCCGAUCAAGAGAGCCCGCCUCCUCCCUUCCAGACCCAUCGCCGCCGCCGCCUCCCUCCGACGGAGCUCCCCGCCGUUCAUGGCCUCCCCCACGCCCUCCUCCUCUUGCCCCUCCCCUUCCCUCACCAGAAGGGAGAGAAGAACCCGAGGGAGGGAGAUCCAACGCAAUCCAGCCUCGGCCUCGCGCCUCGCCGGAGCAUCUCCACCGUCGACCGAAGUCCCGCAGGUCGCCGUGUUCCCCCGCUCUUUUCCCCCCUCUGUUUGUGUCUCCAUUUUUUUCUCUCAAGUCUCAAUCCCCUCUGUACAUCUCUGUGCAAGGAUGCCCGAGGUCCUCCGCUCCGACCCACACCCCGGCGGCCUUGUCGACGUCGCCGCUGAAGUGAGCCACAGCCUCGAUGGAGGUCCGGCUUCCGGAUCCGAGCCGCGGACACCCACCCAUGGAGAAACGAAAAGAUCUUUGUUUCGUUUCGUUUCCGUCUGCUUCAGCUCCUGCUUUGUCGUUCACCCCCGCACGCACAAGCAGCAGGAAGAUGCAGUUCUUCGUCAAGACCUCACGGGGAAGACCAUCACCCUCGAGGUCGAGAGCAGACCAAAAUCCAGGGUCAUGAGGGAAGAUAUACCAUAUAUGUUCACACCUUGAGGGAGAAGCCAGAACAUGUCAGUGGCUUAUUUAUUGGUCGAGAUAUACACAGUGACAAGAUCGAGGAUAUUGUCCGAGCGGCCAGGCGAGCCUGCUACAGAGCGUUGCCCAUGGCGGCAACUGCGUGAUCGAAAUUUCACUUUACUCUUCCCAUGCUUUUUCCCGUCGCCCGCACGGCCAGAAACAUGUGUAUUCCAUAAUGGUGAGGAAGAUGGACAUGCUCGACGGAGUCACCAUCUUGAGGUCCGAGAAGGUCAAGAAUGAGAUUGUCCUUGAUGGCAACGACAUCGAGCUUGUCUCGCACUCUGUCGCCCUCAUAAACUAAGUGAAUUAGACAGGACCCAGAACCUGUCUUUGUUCAUGUGCAUGUUGUGCUGCCUAAUAAUUUGGUUGAUGUGAUGCAAAUGAUAUUGUAUCAUGUUUGCUUAUGCUCUUUGCGGAAACCAGUAUGCUAGAUGUGCUUAGAAGUCAUUGCAAUGUCUUCAGAUGUUGGAUGUCGAGUGUUCUUUGUUUGCGAUGCAUAUAUGGCUGCUUGUGUUGUUCAACAUGAUGUAAACAGGGCUACUUCUACCGUUGUGUUGUUGUUGUUUGUGGUUUGCAACCUGCAGGGUUCAGAUUGCUCCUUUGUGUUAUCUUUUUUCCUUGAGAUUGUUUCAAGUUUCAGAAGUGAGCAGUUUUGCUUGGCUCAGAUUUUGAUGCCUCUGAAUUGGUAGUGCUAAUUAUUCCCAGGUCACAAGAGUCUGUAGCUUCUGAAUUUAAUUGUAUGCAUGCAACACUUAAUGGGAUUGUUGUGCAAUUCGUACCGAGCAUGCAUCGACAGUAGGAGUUCUCAGUGCAUGCAUCAACAACUAUCUAUAUGUUUGGUUUGGAUUAUUUUGGUUUGAUUGCUGCACUUGUAAAUGUAUGGGUUGGCCUGGGUUUGGUUUGGAUUACAAACUAUUGCCGGGUUUUCAUAAUGUGCCUAAUAUUUUCAAAUUUUUUGGCACUGAAUUGUACUUAGUUAUCUGAUUUACUCAUGUUCAUGCUACUUGUUAAGUAUCUUUAUGUUCUUGCUACUAGUAGGAUGGUCAAUACAUGCUUGUUCUGUAACUUUAGAUCUUUCCUGAAACUCUUGGUCCUUCAUAUCUAAAUUUUACAUGUACUGUAGAAGCUCUACUUUAUGCUAAUACCUGCUUGUGUAACAUUUUGCAUGGUAUAUUUCUAAAUGGACAAGUACAUGCGGCGUCCAUCAUAAACGAUGAUGCAGACUAGAUGUUCAACUGCAGAACCAUCCAUCACAUCAACACAAAGUCAGAUGUUUUGCAAAAGGAAGAAGCAGUACUUGAAGAAGCAGAUUACAAUGUUUUCUCGUCGUGAAGCACUAGAUAGGCUUGUUCUAUUUAUUUUUCCUGUUCUAGAGUAUUCCAGCACUUGAAUGCUUGACUACAACAUGUUGUAGGUUGCUUGGAUCUGUAUAAAAUACAUAUGUGAUGGAAAUUUGUAGAAUGUGUGUUCUGAGAUAUUUCCAUAAUAUUCAGCUAAUUUGUG